CCUACGGGAGGCAGCAGUAGGGAAUAUUGCUCAAUGGGGGAAACCCUGAAGCAGCAACGCCGCGUGGAGGAUGAAGGUUUUCGGAUUGUAAACUCCUUUUGUUAGAGAAGAUAAUGACGGUAUCUAACGAAUAAGCACCGGCUAACUCCGUGCCAGCAGCCGCGGUAAUACGGAGGGUGCAAGCGUUACUCGGAAUCACUGGGCGGAAAGAGCGCGUAGGCGGGAUAGCAAGUCAGAUGUGAAAUCCUAUGGCUUAACCAUAGAACUGAAUUUGAAACUGUUAUUCUAGAGUAUGGGAGAGGUAGGUGGAAUUCUUGGUGUAGGGGUAAAAUCCGUAGAGAUCAAGAGGAAUACUCAUUGCGAAGGCGACCUGCUAGAACAUAACUGACGCUGAUGCGCGAAAGCGUGGGGAGCAAACAGGAUUAGAUACCCCGGUAGUC
rnacentral:rRNA from 1 species